rnacentral:rRNA from 1 species
AUUGAACGGCUGCGGAAUGCUUUACACAUGCAAGUCGAACGGCAGCACGGAGAGCUUGCUCUCUGGUGGCGAGUGGCGAACGGGUGAGUAAUAUAUCGGAACGUAUCCAAUAAUGGGGGAUAACGAGUCGAAAGAUUCGCUAAUACCGCAUACGCCCUACGGGGGAAAGCAGGGGAUCGUAAGACCUUGCGUUAAUGGAGCGGCCGAUAUCUGAUUAGCUUGUUGGUGAGGUAAAGGCUCACCAAGGCGACGAUCAGUAGCUGGUUUGAGAGAACGACCAGCCACACUGGAACUGAGACACGGUCCAGACUCCUACGGGAGGCAGCAGUGGGGAAUUUUGGACAAUGGGGGCAACCCUGAUCCAGCCAUUCCGCGUGAGUGAAGAAGGCCUUCGGGUUGUAAAGCUCUUUCGCAAGGGAAGAAAACUUAUGAUCGAAUAAAUCAUGAGGUUGACGGUACCUUGAUAAGAAGCACCGGCUAACUACGUGCCAGCAGCCGCGGUAAUACGUAGGGUGCGAGCGUUAAUCGGAAUUACUGGGCGUAAAGCGUGCGCAGGCGGUUUUGUAAGUCGGAUGUGAAAUCCCCGGGCUCAACCUGGGAACUGCGUUCGAAACUGCAAGGCUAGAGUGUGUCAGAGGGGGGUAGAAUUCCACGUGUAGCAGUGAAAUGCGUAGAGAUGUGGAGGAAUACCAAUGGCGAAGGCAGCCCCCUGGGAUAACAC